UGCGUAGACGGCAAGAUAAGUCAAUUAUUAAAUCUCCUGGCUUAACCAGGAAUCUGUGAUUGAAACUGGCUUGCUUGAGGAUGGAAGAGAGAAGUGGAAUUCUCGGAGUAGCGGUAAAAUGCGUAGAUCUCGAGAGGAACACCGAUGGCGAAGGCAGCUUCUUGGUCCAUUUCUGACGUUGAGGCACGAAAGCGUGGGGAGCAAACAGGAUUAGAUACCCUGGUAGUCCACGCUGUAAACGAUGAUCACUAGAUGUUAGGUCCGCUUUAGGGCUUAGUGUCGCAGCUAACGCGUUAAGUGAUCCGCCUGGGAAGUACGGUCGCAAGAUUAAA
rnacentral:rRNA from 1 species